rnacentral:rRNA from 1 species
UGCUACAGCCAUGCCACCCUGAAAUGUGCCCGAUCUCGUCUGAACUUGGAAGCUAAGCAGGGUCGGGCCUGGUUAGUACUUGAAUGGGAGACCACCUAGGAAGACUAGGUGCUGUAGGUG